GAGAUUAAGCUCAGUUGGUAGAGUGCUUGCCUCACAUGCACAAGGUCCUGGGUUCAAUCCCCAGCACA
rnacentral:tRNA from 1 species